UACGAAGGGGCUAGCGUUGCUCGGAAUCACUGGGCGUAAAGGGUGCGUAGGCGGGUCUUUAAGUCAGGGGUGAAAUCCUGGAGCUCAACUCCAGAACUGCCUUUGAUACUGAAGAUCUUGAGUCCGGGAGAGGUGAGUGGAACUGCGAGUGUAGAGGUGAAAUUCGUAGAUAUUCGCAAGAACACCAGUGGCGAAGGCGGCUCACUGGCCCGGUUCUGACGCUGAGGCGCGAAAGCGUGGGGAGCAAACAGG
rnacentral:rRNA from 1 species